rfam:Camelus ferus unplaced genomic scaffold scaffold564, whole genome shotgun sequence.
GAGGGUAUAGCUCAGUGGUAGAAUCUGUGCUUAGCAUGCAUGAGGUCCUGGGUUCAAUCCCCAGUACCUCCA